rnacentral:misc_RNA from 1 species
AUUAAAAAAAAUUUAAAAAAAAAAAAGACAAGGUUAGAAAAUGAAAUACAACGAAAAAACAGGCACCAUGUAGAAAGAUGUAUGCCAAGUAAAUAAUCAAAUGAAGAACCAAUCAGUAAAAGAAGUAACAAAACUUUAUAUAGGCCUCGAUUGAGGCUGAAGCUGGGAGGCUAGAAAAGAGACAUUGGCAAAACAGGUAUAUUUCACAGAAGAGACACCAUGAGAGAGUUCUUCUCACAUGUUAACAGCUCAUCACAGCAAAGGAUCUCAGUUACAAAUCAUCCGGGUGGUUAACUUAGGUAAUCCAUUUUAUUUGACAAAAUCAAUCUAAAAGUGCUAUAUAAAGUCCCAUGCUAAUACAUUGGAUAAACAAUUUAAAAACAUCAUGUUUCAAUAUUGAAAAGCAAGUGAACAAACAAUAGGAAACACUGCUUAUUUGCUACAGAUCCAUUUGCAAUGGUUACAGAUCAUUUGUCAUGUUUCAACCACUAAAAGCAAUUUAACAAAGAAGCAAAUAAGAUAGUAAAA